rnacentral:rRNA from 1 species
CAGCAGCCACGGGAAUACGAAGGGUGCAAGCGUUAAUCGGAAUUACUGGGCGUAAAGCGUGCGUAGGCGGUUUGUUAAGUCUGUUGUGAAAUCCCCGGGCUCAACCUGGGAAUGGCAAUGGAUACUGGCAAGCUAGAGUGUGUCAGAGGAUGGUGGAAUUCCCGGUGUAGCGGUGAAAUGCGUAGAGAUCGGGAGGAACAUCAGUGGCGAAGGCGGCCAUCUGGGACAACACUGACGCUGAGGCACGAAAGCGUGGGGAGCAAACAGGAUUAGAUACCCGAGUAGUCCCUGUCUCUUAUAA